rnacentral:rRNA from 1 species
CCUACGGGAGGCAGCAGUGAGGAAUAUUGGUCAAUGGGCUUACGCCUGAACCAGCCAAGUCGCGUGAGGGAAGACUGCCCUAUGGGUUGUAAACCUCUUUUGUCAGGGAGCAAUUGGCGCUACGUGUAGCGUUAUCGAGAGUACCUGAAGAAAAAGCAUCGGCUAACUCCGUGCCAGCAGCCGCGGUAAUACGGAGGAUGCGAGCGUUAUCCGGAUUUAUUGGGUUUAAAGGGUGCGUAGGCGGAAGGCCAAGUCAGCGGUAAAAUCGCGGGGCUCAACCUCGCUCCGCCGGUGAAACUGGCGUGCUAGAGUGGGCGUGAAGUAUGCGGAAGGCGGGGUGUAGCGGUGAAAGGCAUAGAGAUCAUGCAG